UACAGAGGGUGCAAGCGUUGUUCGGAAUUAUUGGGCGUAAAGCGCGUGUAGGCGGCGUGGCAAGUCGGGUGUGAAAGCCCUCAGCUCAACUGAGGAAGUGCGCCCGAAACUGCUGUGCUUGAGUGCCGGAGAGGGUGGCGGAAUUCCAGGUGUAGCGGUGAAAUGCGUAGAUAUCUGGAGGAACACCGGUGGCGAAGGCGGCAUCCUGGACCGGUAUUGACGCUGAGGCGCGAAAGCUAGGGGAGCAAACGGGG
rnacentral:rRNA from 1 species